UCAGCAGGCCUCUGUACUGCUCUGUGGAGGUGAGGUAGUAGGUUGUAUAGUUUGGUGGGAGGGAUUUCAUCCCAUUUCAGGUGAUAACUAUACAGUCUAUUGCCUUCCUUAAAGAGCAGCAAAACGGCUUGAGGAACG
rnacentral:precursor_RNA from 15 species